rnacentral:snRNA from 1 species
AUGUCAGCCACAUGUAUACUAAAAUUAAAAUAAUAGAGAUAAGAUUAGAAUGGCCCCUAUGCAAGGAUGGCACACAAAUCCAUGGUGUCCUAUGUUUUU